UCAAGUUUCUAAGAGCAAACGGUGGAUGCCUUGGCAUCUGGAGCCGAAGAAGGACGUAGCAAUCUGCGAUAAGCCUCGGGGAGCUGAUAAGCGAGCUUUGAGCCGAGGAUUUCCGAAUGGGGAAACCCCGCUGGGCGCACUUGUGCGACCUAGUGACUCCCGCCUGAAUAUAUAGGGCGGGUAGAGGGAACGUGGGGAAGUGAAACAUCUCAGUACCCACAGGAAGAGAAAACAACAGUGAUUCCGUCAGUAGUGGCGAGCGAACGCGGAUCAGGCUAAACCGAUCAUGUGUGAUAGCCGGCAGGCGUUGCAUGGUCGGGGUUGUGGGACUUUCCCGCUGCUCUGCCGAGCAGCAAGGGUUACAGCGCGAUAUAGACGAAUGGUCUUGAAAGGCCAGUCACAGAGGGUGCCAACCCCGUAGUCGAAAUGUCGUAAUGGCCCGGAGAGUAUCCCAAGUAGCACGGGGCCCGAGAAAUCCCGUGUGAAUCUGUCAGGACCACCUGAUAAGCCUAAAUACUCCCAGAUGACCGAUAGCGGACAAGUACCGUGAGGGAAAGGUGAAAAGUACCCCGGGAGGGGAGUGAAAUAGUACCUGAAACCGUUUGCUUACAAACCGUCGGAGCAGCCCUAGUAGCUGUGACGGCGUGCCUUUUGAAGAAUGAGCCUGCGAGUUAGCGAUAUGUGGCGAGGUUAACCCGAGAGGGGUAGCCGUAGCGAAAGCGAGUCUGAAUAGGGCGAUUCAGUCGCAUGUCCUAGACCCGAAGCGAAGUGAUCUAUCCAUGGCCAGGUUGAAGCGACGGUAAGACGUCGUGGAGGACCGAACCCACUUAGGUUAAAAACUGAGGGGAUGAGCUGUGGAUAGGGGUGAAAGGCCAAUCAAACUUCGUGAUAGCUGG
rnacentral:rRNA from 1 species